rnacentral:rRNA from 1 species
AGUUCGGAUUGUAGUCUGCAACCCGACUACAUGAAGCCGGAAUCGCUAGUAAUCGCGGAUCAGAAUGCCGUGGUGAAUACGUUCCCGGGUCUUGUACACACCGCCCGUCACACCAUGGGAGUUGGAAAUGCCCGAAGUCAGUGGUCCAACCGGAAGGGGGAGCUGCCGAAGGCAGGUUCGAUGACUGGGGUGAAGUCGUAACAAGGUAUC